ACUAAGUGUUGUCCUUGACUUACCACUCAUGGUUUGUUUGGAGGAAACAAACUACAGGACCAGGUUCGGAUGACAUGACAAGCCAGACCGUGGCUUCUUUCACCUGGAGCACAGCAGCAGGGGGAAGAGUAUUCUAGGAUCUUCUGAGCAGCAUGAACCAGGAGGUACCUCUUCCAUCCAAGGAAUUUAUGGAUGAAAAAAGAUGAAGCAACUUCAAAAUGGGCAGUAAAAUGUAAGAAGACAACUAAAGAACAAACUUUUCAUUGGAUUAAAGAUUGCACAGCCUUGCCAAGUUUAUGUACAGGUUGGCAAUUGCAUUGGUCCAGUCACAGACAUUGCAAUGAUAGUUCCCAUAUGGAAAUUAUCUCAGCCAUGCACAUGGUCUUUUAUGUGACUUAAGCCAUAGGAAGUUAACAUAAACCACACUUACACAUCCACGUUCAGUCCUAUGAUACAUACCCUUUACCUCAGGGAUGUGUUGUGAGCCAGCUACCCAUACAGAAUAUUGAUUAGGGACAGAUUUUCCCAUCAGAGUUCCCCAUAGAUUUUAAGAAGAAGCUUCAGGUUUAAAGAGGCCCUUUGUACACUUUUUUUCUCCAGUUUGACUGUAGAGUUUUCUCAUUCAAUUCUGGGAAAGUGGCCAAGAAUGUAACAUCAAUAAGAUAACAGGCUGCCAGUCCUUUUAUGGCCACUCUUUUUAUGGCAUUUUUACUUCCGACUGCUGCCUGAGGUAUCGGAGUGAGAAUUUAGAGAUGGCCAGACUGAUAAGCAUGUGAAAUUCCCAGGGUAACAUGUUAUGUACCCCACAUUUGUUCUCAAUUUAUUCUUAUAAAAGGAGUGUGUUAAGCCCCCAAGGGACCAGUCUCUUGACAUGGUCACUCACUUUCCAAUUACUGCAUAAGGAGAGUUCAAGGCUUUCUUUGCCCUGGGACUUA